CAUCUGGAGAUGAUUACAGAAGGCUCCUUACCUGUGCCAAAACAGAUCUUCACUUUGCUUAAUAUUAACUUUUUCUGAGAAGGUCUGUGGGCUGGAUGUGCAGACAGGGCCAAUACAAAGCCCCUAGACUAUAAAACAACGUGGCUCCAAAAGAGUCUGUUAGGUCUCUGGCAUCUCCCAACCAACCUUUCACAACAGAGAAAAGAUAAAGAAGUGGGAAAAAUAUUAUCCAGGAGUAAUACUGAUCUGCAGGAAGUGUUGGACAAGUUCCAGCAGUUCGAAAGAGCCUAGGACUAGAGGAAUGAGGAAUUAAUGUGUCCAGUGGUGUUUAUGGCCUGGCUGAGUGUGUCUGGGUGACAGUUCCUGUGUGACUCCUCACCAAGGUGCUGUUUUACGAGUGGUGGUGUUUUGUGUCCGCAGGGGUUCUGUCAGCUCUUCCUCACAAUUGCCCUGUGAAAGUGAAGGCAGUCAGCCUGGAGGAAGGACCUGGGGGAGAAGGUGAAGAGAAGAGAGUCCUCAGUGAGGAGGCUGUCUGGAGUUUGGAGAAGCUCCCAGGAGGAAGCAGGAAGCAAAGAGAUGCUCGAAGCCAAAGCCCAAACUGCCCGCCCUGUUCCUGACCGUUACAUCGAAGCACUAGAGGAGAUGGAGAAGCUCGCUGUGGUGUGGCAUUCACAAAGAGUCCUGACAGCUUCUGCCCCGGGGAAGGAGAAGAAAGCAGAGGCAGAGAAUAAUACACGCAGGACCCAGCUGAAAACCCAACCAGAGACUCACAAGAAAGGGCAUGAGCUGAACCUGGGGGCCACAAGAGGAAGACAGAAGACAGACAAGUCCCAGGAAGGCAGUGGAAGAGCUGCUUUUGAGAAGUAAAACCAAUUCCAUCCCAGGUAACCUAGCUGGCAAAGCUCAGAGCUGUUUCCCAAAAGCCUUGUGAGAGACCCAAACCCUCAGAUAUGUCUCUGCUCAACCAGAGAGGUAGUCUGAAGACUCAUUUCUGGGCUGCCCAUCUGGGAAGCGGCAAUAAAGGCAGUUAACAAGGUCCAGGCUGAGCUGUCUGUCAGAGUGGGUCAGCUGGGGGACCUAUCUAAUCCUGCUGUAGGAUUUCACAGGCUUUGUUGUGCAGAUGCCACAUAUAGCUGACAAUGUCACAGGCAGUUUUGGAAGAUGGAGAGGCCAAAUCGGAACUGGAGCGUCAUUAAGUUGUGACAGCACUGAAAGCUGCAUGGUGGUGGCUUCUCAGGUUCUCACCUUACAGGGAAGUGUCUGCCUGGUGUGGAAAUAAAAUAAUUAACACCUCACAGGCUUCUGCAGGCCUCACUAGUUAAGAAAUGCAUGCCAGCAUGACCUAACAGCCCUCUGGCCCAGCACAAUUUAACUAACAAAAGCACAGGAGAAUUUGUGUGGAGGAUUUCUGUUUUUUUUCAAGGGAUACUGCCUAGAUCCAGCUGAUUGUCCAGAGCCUUCCUGUAUGUUGUACUCUGUGUUACCGCUCCCUCAUGUAAUUUUCUAUAGUCCUACUCAUGUGGACUUAGUGAAGAAUGAGUUGUGGAACCUAAAGGGACACCAACUGGAGCAGCCUCAUUUUGGCAGUUUGUAGCAUCAGAGAGAUCACAGUGGUGUUCUGUCUUCUCCUGCAGCUGGAGUAACAAGCUGCUUCUGUUCUGACCAGGUCAGCACUGCUUUCUGGUCAUUCCAUGACAGGGGGGCUUUUUAUCAUUUGGGCUUUGGAAAGCCAGGCUAGACCAAGUGGGCAGGAUAGCCAAAUCCAUCCCUCAUGAGCUUUAUGACCACUGUAGUUUCCAAGUAUAUUUCUCUUGCCCUGGCUCCAGUCUUCAAGGCUGUAAAUGGACCUAUGGGCAUUUUGGAUAAUGCAUCAAUGUGUAUUAAAGCACUCUCACCCUCAGUACAUUCAGCCAGAUCUCAUCUCUGAGCUUAGAGAAGGCAGUACACACGUGAGACCAUCACUGUAAAUUACUUUUCUUUCCAAACUGCUGAAGAAUAGAAACUUGCAGAAGAAAUACUCUACCCCCUUUCAAACUGUAUCACAGAGGUGGCCUUCAAAACACCUGUGAAAGUACAAGCUCAUUUGUGACUAGGGGUUGCAUAUUUGGACUGCCAAGCUGCUGGAGCAUAAAUGCUUUUUCUUGCUUACCUGUGAAAUGAGUAUGAGUAGGGAAGAGGUACUCCUGCAUUUCACUGGCUGUCCAAGAUCUGAAGCUAUGACUAGUUUAGGAUGCUCAGGGAAUCUUUAUCAUUCUUGUUCCUGCUGAAAGCCUGUGUAUGCAUCCUAAGUUCGGCAUGAACACUGCAGGUGAGUAAAAAAGGACUGUUGUCCUCCUUUGAAGUCUGAUAUAGGUGUGGGACACUCACAACCCCGUCUGUCCCCUUUCACGGGGGAUCUCUGUUCUUUGAAGUGCAGUGUCAGAAACUAUCCCAACAGAUUUACAUUUUGUUUUCAAGAGAGAUAAUAAGGUAGGGCUUACAGUACAACAGAGACACAUUUCUGUAGCCUAAAUGAGGAACAGAAUAAACCUCUUACUGCAUUUUCCCCUGUCAGGCUGAAUUGUGGUGUAGUGUCUGCUUUGUGCCUUCCAGAGAGAAGGAAGAUCCUGUAGAUGGAAUUAGACUUUGUACUGUCUUCAUGAUAAACAGCCAAAUGCUCGUUCAAUAUAAACUAUAUUUAUGGUGUAUGUAUCUAUAGAUUAGAUGCUCAUCUCCCAACAACACUUUUUUUUAACCUCUACAGGGUGUUUUCACAUGAGAGAACAGAGUAUAUAGAAAUUGUCUGGGGACAAGCCACAGGAGAAACAGAUACAAUACAUAUACAAAUCUAUUUUGCCACUAGGAGUUCAGGCCCACUACAUGGAAAACCUUUUAAAACAAAGAAAGUCUGCUAUCAUUAGACAUUGAGGCUAAACAUACUCCUUUCAUCCCUUCAUAAAAGAAAAAAAAAUCUCUUUGGAAAUGCUCAGUGUGCAACAGUUGAAGGAAACAUUAGCUUCCAAACUUCACUGUAUUUUUAGAAAGAAAAGACAUCUCUGACCCUUGCAGCCUCCUGAAACAGGUUCCUAGCUGCACAGAACCUGCCACAGAGGCAGGCAGCCCAGGCAGAGUCUGAUUUAACAAAACGCAGAUGAGAGCAGUAAGGACAGGAAGUAGAAGGAGCUGAUGACAGAAUUUGACAAAGAACAGACUAAAAGUUUUUAUUAAGAGAUUAAAGGCUUUAGAGCUUAAACUCUUCUGUAAUUCUUAAAGACUCCAACUCUUCUUAACUUCUUUUUCAAUUACUAUCAUUCUACUAGCUCUGUACUUUCCAGAAGAGGUAUUUCGUUGUCAAAAAUAAUGAUUAUCUGCAUUCUGAUUCUAGAAAUAGGAAAGUCCAGAAAAGAAAAGAACAAAUCAAACACAUCACUUCUCUGCAUUCAGAUGCAUAAAGCCCAAGUGAACAUAAAAGGGAAGAGUUUGUUCCCUUAUGGUGUGUAUUCAAGUUACUAUUUUGAUUUAUAUCCUCAAAGCAGAUGGGGCUGACUGGGUAAAGCAGAAUUUCUUCCCCAGGUCUUGCUCCAGAUCUGCAUUUGCCAGUUUUCCAGUUCUUCCCCAUGUUAACAGUAUCCACACCUUGAAUGUGAUUUCAUCUCCUUCCAUGUUCUCAGGGCAAACCAGUUGGAAUAUUUCUCUACAGUUUAAUAGAACAAUGGUCAUGGUAUUCACAAGUUAAUACAGAAAUUAAAGCUGACCUUAAUUGUGUUAGGCCUCUAGGCAGCCACCACCCUUCCUUCCUCUCAGAAGCAGAGCAGCUCAGUUUUGAGAACUUGGCAUUUACAACCUAAAAAACAACCUUGGCUGAAAAUCCUUACUG